rnacentral:rRNA from 1 species
CGUGCCAGCAGCCGCGGUAAUACGGGGGAUGCAAGCGUUAUCCGGAAUCAUUGGGCGUAAAGCGCCUGUAGGUUGUUUAAUAAGUCUGUUGUUAAAGACUGGGGCUUAACCCCAGGAAAGCAAUGGAAACUACUAGACUAGAGUAUGGUAGGGGUAAAGGGAAUUUCUAGUGUAGCGGUGAAAUGCGUAGAUAUUAGAAAGAACACCGGUGGCGAAAGCGCUUUACUGGACCAUUACUGACACUCAGAGGCGAAAGCUAGGGUAGCCAAAGGGAUUAGAUACCCCUGUAGUCCUAGCCGUAAACGAUGGAUACUAGAUGUUGCGCUUAUUGUGCAGUGUCGUAGCUAACGCGUUAAGUAUCCCGCCUGGGGAGUACGAUCGCAAGGUUGAAACUCAAAGGAAUUGACGGGGGCCCGCACAAGCGGUGGAGCAUGUGGUUUAAUUCGAUGCAACGCGAAGAACCUUACCAGGGCUUGACAUACUGCAAAUUUUCUUGAAAGAGAAAAGUGCCUUCGGGAAUGCAGAUACAGGUGGUGCAUGGCUGUCGUCAGCUCGUGUCGUGAGAUGUUGGGUUAAGUCCCGCAACGAGCGCAACCCUCGUUUUUAGUUGCCAUUUUAUGGGUUCUCUAGAAAGACUGCCGGUGACAAACCGGAGGAAGGUGGGGAUGACGUCAAGUCAGCAUGCCCCUUAUGCCCUGGGCUACACACGUGCUACAAUGGCUAAGACAAAGAGUCGCGAAUUCGCGAGAAUCAGCUAAUCUCAUAAACUUAGUCUAAGUUCAGAUUGUAG